UUAAGUUCAGCGGGUAUUCCUACCUGAUCCGAGGUCAACCUUGGUAUCGGGGCGUUUUACGGCUGGCAGCCCGCAAGACGUCCUGGGCGAGAAAGAAAUCUACUGCGCCCGGAGUGCUAGCGGACACCGCCACUGUCUUUCGGGGCCUACGGUCAACCGUAGAUGCCCCAACGCCGGGCCAGCUAGGGGCCUGAGGGGUU
rnacentral:misc_RNA from 1 species